rnacentral:tRNA from 1 species
AGUAUAUUAGUUUAUAUAAAACAUUAAACUGCAAGUUUAAUAUUCAUAAUUUUAAUCUAAACAAUA